ACGUUUGUAGUAGGAAUUAGUUGUGCCAAUUGUUUAAGAUACAAAUGUUAUUUUGUUUGGUUUGGAAAAACAAGGUUCUGUCUUUUGCAGAUGAGUAUCGAAGUUGACGUUUAAUUAUAAGAGCAUCACGUGAAAUGUUUUAGUACAACUACAGCCAACAAAACAGGCAAUCUGAGCUAUUUUUACUCAACACCAUUAAGAAGUAGUGAGCUACAUAAAAUGACACGGCGUCAAUUAACCGCGUACGUGUUAAUUGAAAUGGGCGUAUCUUUUAAAAGAAAGAAAGAAAGAUGAACGACGCAGUGUGAACAGACGCCAUCGAGGGAAGUAACCUGCAAUUCCUAUAUGCGGAUGCAUGCUUCUAUUGACAGUUUUGUCCUGGCAGCAACCUGCAUAGCAACUGGGAGCAUGGACCCCAGCAUAAAGGUUUUGAGAACCAACCAAGUUGCUGCUCGGAGUGACGUACAGUUUGUUGACAAGUUCAUUAGCUGUAGGUAUUUACGUCACUGCUGCAGAAGCGCUGGGGUACGGCGGAGGCAGAGGCAGCGGUUUCUGCCUAGAUACACCACCAGCCACGUUGAAAAAGAUGGGAGGAGGGCAGAGUUUGGACGAUCCGGUGAAGGAAGAGGAGAAAGAGGAGGGUCCGCCCGCUCGGCCGAGCGAAGAGCUCCCCGCGGCGGCGGAACGUCCCUCGGAGCCCGUGGGGGACGUCCCACAGUGUCGCAUGGGCGGCAGGACCGUGGACAACAUGUGCUUCAUGAUCUCCUGCACAAACUGGUACUAACACUGGGGUCGCCCAGCCCUGCGCCACCGAAGUAUUCAUUUCGGUGAAAUGCGCGUAAUAAUAUCAGAUUAAUGCUUCUUCCUGCAUAUAAGUGCUCAGUGCAUUCGCAUUUGUCAUAUCCCUCUUCUUUUAAAUGAGCUAUGUUCUUAAAGGUGUGACAAAAAAUAUAGCACGAGGCUUGAAAUGCAACCAGAAACAGGUAAGGCAGACAGGAUUAAAAGGUGAUUUUGACAACUUUUAUUUAGCCAGGGCUCAAUUAAAUUUAUCCAUGACUUUUGUUUUUCUUUUUUUGAGUACACCAGUUUCCAUUUAGCAUUCCAAACUCGAUGACACAGCGUUAAAAACUAUUGGUUAAUAGUCAAUGUUGCCCUUGACAGUGUCAUCAAAUGACUCAGACUUAGGCCCUGUCCACACGUAUACGGAUUUUUCUGAAAACAUAGUUUUUUCCCUCCGUUUUGGCCUCCCGUCCACACGAAAACGGCAUUUUAGGUCACUGAAAACGAAGCUUUUUGAAAACGCCUUCCAGGGUGGAGAUUUUUCAAAACUCAGAUUUAUCUGUCUUCCUGUGGACAAGAAAAACGGAGCUUUAUGAAAACGCUGACGUCAUGACGUCAACUCGCGCAUCAGUUACCAUGGCAAUUGGUGUAUUGCGCAUGCGGCAAUCGUUUAGUGUUCUCCUGUGGGCGGAGAUGUCUUUUAAAACGCCGGUCGUGUGGAUAGGAUUUUUUUUUUUAACGGAGGGGGAAAAAACUACGUUUUCAGAAAAAUCUGUAUACGUGUGGACAGGUCCUUAGGGCCUAUGCACUCCAAUCUCUCUGUUUCUGUGGCCAUAGGUUGGCAUUUUUAGUUUAGCCAUCAAAGGGCAAGCUCUUUACCUAUGGAGCUACUGCAGGAGGGGCUCAAGCCAUAAAGAUGAAAGAAUGAAAUAAUGGCCUGCACAAGGUGGUAAUUACCCUGUUACUUUAUUUGUGGCAGUGUUCAUUGGAUGCUAGUGUCAGGAAAAGCACUUACAAACUACAGUCAGUCCCUGGCCAACAUAACUAUCUCAAUAGUAUCCCUUAUUGUCCCUUUGAGAUAAUGCCAUUGUCCUUUUUUAGUGGCCUGUCAUUGAGUUUAAUUGGAAACUGUUGUGUAAAAAAUGAUAGGGUCCAACUCGAUGGGAAAAUAGCGCAGAUUUUCUUUUUUGAUAUUAUAGUGGUGGGUAAAAAUUCUCUGUGGCCAGGGAAUUUCUUCAUCCACUAGCUAAAUUCAUUUUCAUCUAAACCAAAUUUAAAAUCUUUGCACACUUUCUGUGUUGGUCAAAUUCACGGUGUUAGCCCAUAACACCAUUUUGUACAAACUUGUGUAAUAGCGCAGGUUUGGCUGAGACUCGGUAUAAAUGUGCUAUCUAUAAUCUGAUGCUAGUGUUACCAUGUGACUUAAUGUCACUGCUAUACAUUCAUAAUGAAAAUCGAUACCAACAUUAUGUUGCCGUAAUAUAAGUAAACAAGAAUGCAAUUUUUAUUUCUUCUUUUUAUUGACAUUUCUUUUUUUAAAUACAACAUGGUGAUAUUGUUAGAUACACAGUGUAGAACUGUUAAACAAAAGAGAAAAGUAAAAAGCAAUACCUUUAUCCAAUAAGUAUGGUUAAUAAUUAUAAUUAAAAAGUUACAUUUUUAUAAAGCUUGAAUAACAGUUUAAAACAGAAAACCAUGGACCAUUUUUGAGUUUUUAUAUAUUUUUUUAACAAAGGUGGUUUAAAAAUAGCAGUGAAAUGAAAACCCUGAAGGAAAAGAAAAAAAAAACAUCACUGAAUGUGUUUUCUAUUUUUAUUUACAUGAUAUUUAUCAUGGCGAAUGAUAUAUUAACCUUGAACUGUGGAUAAGCCUGUUUUAUUAAUGCUAGAAAAUAAGACCCAGAAUCCUUUAUUCUCACUGUGUACGAAAUCCUCAAUUUUAUUCUCCAUACAUUUCAAUAUUUGGGGCUAAUGGAUAUGUCUAAAAAUUAUUUAUUUCUUUGUUCUCUGUUCACUUUUUUUCUUUGUGAUAUUUUACAUGUUGAGAUUUGCUUACAGUGUGUUGAUGUAUUAGAUUUGCUUAGUUUUAUGAUCAGAGGAAAUGUAAUGAAAUUGGCAGAGUGACAGAUGUUGGAGUUUGCAUUUUAGAAAUGUGCUGCAUUCAGUGGUAUUCAUCGCCAGACGGCAAAAGGGGGGGGGGGGGGGGGGCGUAUAUACAUAAUUAAAAUCAAACAGAAAUUGUAAUACGCUUUUAAGUACAUGUACUUGUAAAAUGAACAACACUGAAUCCAUAGCAAAAUCAUUAAGAAAGCUCAACAUCAGAUUUUUAGCAUAGCUCCUUUUAAAAGGGUUUUCUCAAAAAUCCUCUGGCAUAAAAAAGAUGGAUCUCUCUUAAAGCUAUAUCAGUUAAAAUCUUACUUGAUCUUCAGUAUUCAAAAUGUUAAAUACAUCAUAUUACUUUCAAAGUCUGGACUA